rnacentral:lncRNA from 1 species
UCUUUUGCUUUCUUGCCUUCCUGCUCUCCCUCUGUCCUCUUGUCCCUUCCCCCUCACUUGCCGUUUCCUCCCCUCCCCCUUUCCAUGUACUCACGGCGGUCUCUCUAAGCUCCCCCCUCUCUCCUACUCUCUCAACUCCCCUCCCCAUGUAUUCCGUCCUGUGGCUGGUCCCUCAGGGGGAAGGGAUGCCUCAGCAUGGGCCCUCGGAGGUAUCCCUAUGCCCCACACCUGACCACACAUCCACCAAACAUAUUCCUCUCCCCUUUUUAUAAAACACAACAGACUCAACUCUUGAUCCAUUCAUAGUACGAUGGCACUGUUGGGAGUGGGUAAGAGGUAUAGGUAGUUGCCUACUAUAGGUAUAGGAAGUACAUCACUGGGGUAUGACCUUGGAACUAUUUUACUUGACAUCUUCCUUUUUUCUAUUGCUUCCUGGCUGCCACGGUGUGAGCUGUUUUGCUUCUCCAUGCCUUUGGGACCCAGAUGGACCUCUAAAAGAAUAGGAGUGUCUCCCCAAUUCUGGGUAUUUUUGUAACAGCUCUACCAAACUAAUCUGUAGGAAGGAGAAAAGGUGCACAAAGACAAAGAAAUGUUCCCUGAGUUUUGGAAGAUAAUGAAGAUUUCCCAAGGUAAAAGAGGAACAGUCAACAGCCUUCAGAAGCCAGGGGAGAGGCAACGCAUGGCUGAUGGAGAGGAGGAACCAGCCAGGCUAAUACUGUGAUCACAACUGACAGAAAUAUGGCACCUCACCUACAGACAGAAGUGUUUGAAUGACUGAUGGGGAUCAGAGUCCUUUGUGGCACCGGUGCUCAGUCACAGUACAGAUGGGACUUAGUUCCUUUUCCAGCCUCACUCGGACCAUCUUCAAAGAAGAUAAGGACAAGUCUGGAAAUCACAACCUUCUUGAAUGCCGUGUCUGGGAGAGUACCUCACCUCCAAUGGUUCCCAGACCUUGUUGGCUGACUCAGAAGCUCCAGGGAUGAACGUGGCAAGCUGCCUGAUUAAUAAGCUUGCUAGCCGAUGUGGUACCCUGUAGGACCUGGCUCUGAUGCAACAUCUGGCACCAGAAGUCCCUCUGCAGGCCAGCCUGCUUACUCUACAGUGUGGACCGUGAGACAGAGAGGCUCCAUGUACUCUACCUUUGCUGACUUUUGCUUUUCUUUACUCUUACAAGAAGUUGCUGAGAUGAAAUGUAAUAGACAUCACACAUAUACACAUUUGAUACUAAAAUGUUCCUUUUAGGGAUUCACAGAGAACAGAAUAUACGGGCCAUUUCUUAAUCUUCAGGCUUGUCAUCCUCAGCCUCAUUUUGUACAACAUAAUAGCAGAGAUUUUUAUAUAAUGAAUCCUAAAGUAGCAUGUCAUUAGGAUCUGAUGGGUGGGUGAUAGACACCUGAGUCCUGAUUUUAAUUUGCCCUUGUGGUCCUUGUCUACUGUGGCUGCUGGGUAUUGGCCAGCCUUUACUUCUUUAUAUAAGAUAUAGCAGGUUUUAUUACUAACAUAGCAGAGGUUUAUAGUCCAAAUUAGGUCAGUCCUAAUGUCCACACUUCUCCAAAAUUAUAUCCCUCAGUACAAAGGAAACCAAAUUGCAGUAGAUUUUUCCACUCUUCCAAAAGACCUGAUAUUUUGUAUGGUUUGUCUGGUUACUUGCUCUACGGAAUAAGAAGCACUAUAUGUCAAAGAGUGGUCUACACCCUGCCAUUCCCCCUCUUCUGGAUAAAGUAAAUUAAGGACCUUCAGGACCAUCAUGGGCCGCUGAUGCAAUGUAUCUGUUCAGCUGUAACGGGCACAGGUAGCCUGGGCAGAGACACAUAGCUACCUCCAUGUUUACCCAUUCCGGUAAAAACUGUGCCACUCCCAUGUCUGCAUCUUUCCCACCUAGACCUCUCGCUGAUUCAUCCCAGGCCAAACAUAUUGUUAGGCCACAGAGGAGACAGUGAAGGAGCUGUCAAUCAAAGGGCAUGCAGUCCAUGAAGGAAGAGGCUCUGGGGAUGCUGAUGCGGGUUAUGAUGAACUCAUUGGUGUCGUCGACAGUUAAGCAGUGUUUAAAAGUCCAUCUUCCAAGAAAAAUAACACUGGGUGUUCCCAUAGUGAGAGUGGAAAGAUGUUGUUGCCUGUGUGGUGUAUUCUUCUUUACUUCAUCCCCAUUUCCAAGAAACAUUGAGGGAUCAGCUCAGUUGCCUGGCUCGUCAGUUAUGCACAUGUACAUACCUGAUCACUAGUUUUCUGAGCAAUUGCUGUGACAUUUCUUCUAAUGCAGGACCAUGGAGAGAGACACUAUAACGCCCUUUUAUUUUUAAGAUUUAUUUUGUAUACACUUGUUGCUCUUGCAGAGGACUGGGGUCUGGUUCUCAGUACCCACAUGGUGACUCACAACCAUCUAUAAUUCCAGUUGAAGGGAAUUGACACUCUCAUCUGGCCUCUGGAAGCACCAAGUCACAUGUAGUGCACAUUUGUUCAUAGAGACAAAACAUCCAUAUAUGUAUGUAUGUAUGUAUGUACGUAUGUAUAUAAUUAAAAAUAAUAAACUAGAAAAGUUG